UACGUAGGCAGCGAGCGUUGUCCGGAAUCAUUGGGCGUAAAGCGCGCGUAGGCGGCCAGAUAAGUCCGGUGUGAAAGUCAAAGGCUCAACCUUUGAAUGCCGCUGGAAACUGUCUGGCUUGAGUCCGGAAGGGGCGAGUGGAAUUCCUGGUGUAGCGGUGAAAUGCGCAGAUAUCAGGAGGAACACCAAUGGACGAAGGCAGCUCGCUGGAACGGUACUGACGCUGGAGGCGACGAAAGCCGUGGGGAGCGAACAGG
rnacentral:rRNA from 1 species